GGAUUGUGGCUCAGUGGUAAAGUGCUCACCUAGCACAUGUGAGGCACUGGGUUCAAUUCUCAGUACCA
rnacentral:tRNA from 1 species